rnacentral:tRNA from 1 species
GUGGUAUUAGCUCAACGGUAGAGCACUAGUUUGUGGAACUAGAUGUUGCCGGUUCGAAUCCGGUAUACCACCCCA